rnacentral:rRNA from 1 species
AUUGAACGCUGGCGGAAUGCUUUACACAUGCAAGUCGAACGGCAGCAUAGGUGCUUGCACCUGAUGGCGAGUGGCGAACGGGUGAGUAAUACAUCGGAACGUGCCCAGUCGUGGGGGAUAACGUAGCGAAAGUUACGCUAAUACCGCAUACGAUCUAAGGAUGAAAGCGGGGGACCGUAAGGCAUCGCGCGAUUGGAGCGGCCGAUGUCAGAUUAGGUAGUUGGUGAGGUAAAGACUCACCAAGCCGACGAUCUGUAGCUGGUCUGAGAGGACUACCAGCCACACUGGGACUGAGACACGGCCCAGACUCCUACGGGAGUCAGCAGUGGGGAAUUUUGGACAAUGGACGCAAGUCUGAUCCAGCCAUUCCGCGUGCAGGACGAAGGCCUUCGGGUUGUAAACUAUUUUAGUACGGAACGAAAAAGCUCUUACUAAUACUAGGAGUCCAUGACGGUACCGUAAGAAUAAGCACCGGCUAACUACGUGCCAGCAGCCGCCGUAA